AGUCAUUCCCUGAAAUUGACCGUCGACGACGACGACGACGCCGACGACCGCCGCCGCCCUCCGGUGAUCCUCGCCGGCGCCGCAUUCUCCGGUACGUCUCCUGCCUCCGCGUCGACGCCCGCGGGAGCCACAUUUCUCGAGCUCGCAGUGUCCGCCGGUGGCUCCGGUCGGCGUCUUUCCGGCGCGAGGCACUGCCCUCGAGGUCUCGACCAUUGCUCGCCGGGUUUCUUCGAGUGGAAGCUCGUCGCGAAGAUUCGGCGUCGGGGAUUUGGGAUACUGUAGCGACUCGCCUCCGGUUUCGAUGGCGUUUCCGCCGUCCUGGUUCGAUUGGAGUUCGAGAGGAGAAGGGGAUGGGAGGACGAAAGAGGGCGGCCAAGCAUUACCCGCCGGAUUUCGACCCUAAGAAGCUGCCUAGGGUUCGGAGGUCCGAGGAUCAGCAGGCGAAGGUCCGGACGAUGCUUCCGAUGAGCAUCCGGUGCGGCACCUGCGGGAACUACAUCUCCAAGGGCACCAAGUUCAAUUCCAGGAAGGAGGACGUAUAUGGGGAUCCGGAUAGUUAGGUUUUACUUCAAAUGCGCCAAGUGUUCUGAGGUUUUGCGUUUUGGGAAGAAUUGAACGUGACUUGUGCUUCUUCAUUUGGGGGGUUUAGGCUGGUGGUGGAGAGUGAGAAAUGUAAGAGGGAGGCUGAAGCGAUGGGCGAUGGGCGAUGCAAUUAAGUCAGAGAUUGAGUCUAAUAUGUAGUUACAUGGGUAAACUGCAAACAUUUAUUGGGGUUGGCUUUUCAUUUGUAUGUAUUAACCUGUCAUAUUUCAUGAUAUAUUCCAGCCACUGUGACAUGCUAGAUGCUUGGCUAGUUUCAUCCAAUAGAAAAAAACGAAAGAGGAGUAAAUCUUAUUGUUCUUUCGGGUCACAGUGGACUGUGUACUGCAUGCCUUCUGGUUUUGUGUGUCUCUUGAAUUUCAGAUUAUAUGGAAAGUCAGAGAUACCAAUUAUCUGCCUGCUAGUUUGCAGGAAAAGAAUUUUAAACUAAGAGAUUCAUUCAUUCGAUAGCAACAAUGGAGCCUUAUCCUACUAUGUGCAGUUGAUUCUUCAUCACUUCAUUUGGAAAGGAAAUUGGAGGAAGAGGAUGAAGCACUUACGAAAUCAAUAGUAUUCAAUACAACCAAAGAUUUUUGUCCAUAGGAUCGAAGAUGAAGAUUCAGAGGAUGAGGACUAUCUGACUCAACCUUCUUCUAGUAACAACGAAUCAUUGAACACUCUCAAGAAGAUGAAAUUUUCCGAGGAACUUCUGGACAAGCCAGUGGAUUCCUUGACAAAAGCUACUUCCAGUGACAUCUCGAAUGACAGAGGCGUUGCACGUUUUUUGAACAUGUUUUAAUUACGUUAGCUCUUCUGAAUGACGGAUGCGUUGAGAGAGGCUGGGCACUUACCUUUUCCUGCGAGCGCAUUGGAUUGUAAUAAAAUGAAGACUCCCUUCAUGGAAGUAGACUGGACUUGCAUAAAGUAACUUUUUUCCAUGCGGUGGUGGUUGUUUGUGCAAGUUUUCUGGUUACAUGAGGAUCUAUAUGGGAUAGAAAUAAUUAUUGCUGGGUUGUGACAAACUCAUGUCUCUGUUCCUUGUUCAUUGAUUCAUAUUUUGUUUAACCGGAAA